rnacentral:misc_RNA from 1 species
AGCAUAGUAUGUGGCAUGUGCAGACUGCCAAUCGGAGAGGGACGUGGAGAGAGGUGGAGGAGAGGAGGAGUAGGGGGAAGUGUGGGAAGUGGCUGGUAAUGAAAAUGUGAAGAAGAAAAAUGGUAGUAAGAGAGUCUGAAUGGGGUUUAGAGGUGGCGGCAGUAACAUUUUUUCUUUGGAUAAUGGUAUGUAUAGGGUACCCAUAAAAUUUGAACCACCUUAAUUGUCCCAAAUCCAAUUAAAAUUCACCCUCUACUACCCUUACACGUCUCAAAUUUGAUUACUAACACCUAUGUACUACCCAAACCCUCCCAAAUCUGUGUUUUUUAAAAGAAAAGGCUGAAAAUUUAAUCAGAAUGUUGUUAACAGUUCAGGUAUCCAAACUCAGAUCCAGAACAUCUUUAAAAAAUCUGUUAAGGACAAUAAAAUUUUUAAAAAUCUGCUAAAUUCUAAAAAAAUAAAUAAAUAAAAAACUCAGCACAUCUCUUCACACUUCCACAACUUCACACCUUCACUCUAUCAAUGUUGACAUAUAGAAUUUGAAACCACCUAAAAUAAAAUUAAAAUUAACCAAUUAUGAAUCAAGAAAACAAAUUUAAGAUUAAAUUUGCAGGGCAACAAUAGCAAGGAAUACUCACCGUAAUUCCAAAAAAGUAUAAAAGCGCAACAAAUAAUUCAUUUGCAGACAAGAACUUCUUAUGUAUAAAAUUUAAUUAACACUAGAGAGAGGCCGAUGUUUAAACGCUAAAUAUUUUGAUUUGCAAUUGUAAGCAUAUGCAGGAAACAUGACCCAUUUUCACAUGCAGAAGGUAUUCAAACUCAUGAUACAGCAAGGGAUAUAAACCACAAGAAAUUUAGAAACCUUUGGUAUUUUAAAAAAUAAAAGAAAUACAUCAAGGGGAUGUAUUGUAACUCAUAAUAUAGAACUCUCAAGUAAUAAAUUACCAGAAAUUCAUAGAAUCACAGCCCUGAAAUAUAAAUAAACACAGCCAAGAAACUACAGAAAACCCAUAAAUAAAGUGCAAACUAACUCUGCAUUUGGGAAGAGAUAGAGCAAAGUACGGAUUUUUAAAAUAAGGAUAGAGAUUUUUGAAAGUUUUACUCACUUUAAAAAACCAUGGGUUCUCCCAAAUACAAAUACAUGAUCUUUGAACCUUGCAAACAAAAAAAUUAUAGAAAUUGUAGAAAACCCACACUACUCGAAAAUAAAUAAAUAAACAAAAGGCAACUAAGAAGAAUAAACAUCAAGAACAACUGGCAAACCAGUGAGAUGAAUCGGCACACCAAAUUGAGGCCUACUUUUCUUAAGAAAAUGGAAUCACCAAUUUCCCUUAAUUUGCAUAAAUAAUUCAACUUGCUGAUAAUAGAUAGUAAAAAAAAAAUCAUAGAGAACUGUGCACCUUCAACAUAUCAAGCUUAAGAUCAGUGGAAUGUAAC